GAUGAACGCUGGCGGCGUGCCUAAUACAUGCAAGUCGAACGCAGUGGGGACGGGUGAGUAACACGUGGGUAACCUCCCAUCAGAGGGGAUAACACUUGGCAACAGGUGCUAAACCGAUACUGAUGGAUGGACUAGUGGUGCAUUAGCUAGUUGGGGAGGUAACGGCUCACCCAGGCCACGAUGCAUAGCCGGCCUGAGAGGGUGACCGGCCACACUGGAACUGAGACACGGCCCAGACUCCUACGGGAGGCAGCAGUAGGGAAUCUUCGGCAAUGGACGAAAGUCUGAUCCAGCAACGCCGCGUGAGUGAAGAAGGUUUUCGGAUCGUAAAGCUCUGUUGUUAGGGAAGCGGUAUCUAACGAAGAAGCCACGGCUAACUACGUGCCAGCAGCCGCGGUAAUUC
rnacentral:rRNA from 1 species